GAUGAACGCUGGCGGCGUGCCUAAUACAUGCAAGUCGAGCGAACGGACGAGAAGCUUGCUUCUCUGAUGUUAGCGGCGGACGGGUUAGUAACAUGUGGAUAACCUACCUAUAAGACUGGGAUAACUUCGGGAAACCGUAUCUAAGACCGGAUAAUAUUUUGAACCGCAUGGUUCAAAAGUGAAAGACGGGCUUGCUGUCACUUAUAGAUGGAUCCGCGCUGCAUUAGCUAGUUGUUAAGGUAACGGCUUACCAAGGCAACGAUGCAUACCCGACCUGAGAGGGUGGUCGGCCACACUGGAUCUGAGACACGGUCCAGACUCCGACGGGAGGCAGCAGUAGGGACUCUUACGCAAUGGGCGAGAGCCUGACGGAGCAACGCCGCGUGAGUGAUGAAGGUCUUCGGAUCGUAAAGCUCUGUUAUUAGGGAAGAACAUAUGUGUAAGUAACUGUGCACAUCUUGACGGUACCUAAUCAGAAAGCCACGGCUAACUACGUG
rnacentral:rRNA from 1 species